UUUGGGCGUGUCACGUGUUUAUUUGACGUGAAAAUGAUUCAAUGCAGCGGCAAACAGACGUUAAAACGAGUUUCUAUGAAGUUUAACAAAAAAAGAGAAAAGGAAAACACUUGUGCUUAUGUUCACAAAAUAGUCCAAACCAGGUUGGUUGCUCGUGUGUCCGUCCACAGUAUCGUGGGUGAGGGUGAUGUGACAUGCGCUUCCUCCUCCUUUGUGUGAUUCGCUCUCCUGCGAUUGCUGCUGACUCACGUUUCUCUCUCUUCGUCUCCUCUCCGCAUCAGGAAAGAUGCCAAAGAGAAGAUUCCUGUGACGGAAGCAGCACUUUCACAUCCUGCUCAACAUUUCUUUUGUUUUUUUAUUUGGAGGAAGUAAGGAAAAGUUGAAAUGACACAACGGAGCUACUGAAAUUUAAACAUAUAUUAAGUUAUGUUAUUUAUCAAUUUCGUACUUACUCAUUUCUGUGGCAAAAUUCCCCCCUCGACAAAUAUCCGCAACGUAAUAUAUUUGAAAGCAAAGCACCUGAUUGUAGUGAUGAUUUUGUACUGUACAUGAACACGUCUGCAAUCAAGGAUGUUACAUUCAACCUCUUCAACUGAAAUAUGAGUUUUGAUACGUUUUUAAAAAAAAUGUUGUCUUUAAUCUUUGGAUGCCUUCAGGUAAAAAAUAUUAAUAAAUUCAUACAUGAUACACA